GUGCUAAACCCAAGUGUGCCAGCUUGAUAUGUGGUAGCCUAUCAUCCCCAACCAGAAGCAAAGAACAAGGUAAUCUGCUUUUGGAUAAACCAAAAAGGAAAAGGAUAGGCAAACCCCCUUACAAACGUAGAGACACAAGAUGUGAGGCAGAAGACAUUGAAGUAUGGGAAAUGCCUAAACCCAGUGCACACAAAGGGUGUGGAUCAAAGAGGUCUCUCUACAAAAGAAGAUAAUCUGACUAUAUUGCAAAUGCAAGGGGGAAAUCUGAUUACUGCAAAUGCUGGGAGAAGAACACAAACAUACUGAGGUUGCAUGUCUCUUAAUCUUUAAAAUGAGUCCAUAAGUAGCUCUUUUUUGUUCUUUGUAUAAAUCUUUCUAAGCUACUAUGCACAGUUAAAGGAUAAGAAGUAACAUGGUAAAGAGUUCGAGUACACUAUAUAAAAUAUUAAAUGAAAGAAACACUUGAAAUAAAGCACUCGAAAUUGUAAAUAAGAACA
rnacentral:lncRNA from 1 species